rnacentral:rRNA from 1 species
GAUGAACGCUGGCGGCGUGCUUAACACAUGCAAGUCGAGCGAGUGAGUUCUUCGGAACGAUCUAGCGGCGGACGGGUGAGUAACACGUGGGCAACCUGCCUCAUAGAGGGGAAUAGCCUCCCGAAAGGGAGAUUAAUACCGCAUAAAAUUAUCGAGUGGCAUCACAUGAUAAUCAAAGGAGUAAUCCGCUAUGAGAUGGGCCCGCGGCGCAUUAGCGAGUUGGUGAGGUAACGGCCCACCAAGGCGACGAUGCGUAGCCGACCUGAGAGGGUGAUCGGCCACAUUGGGACUGAGACACGGCCCAGACUCCUACGGGAGGCAGCAGUGGGGAAUAUUGCACAAUGGGGGAAACCCUGAUGCAGCAACGCCGCGUGAGUGAUGAAGGUCUUCGGAUUGUAAAGCUCUGUCUUUGGGGACGAUAAUGACGGUACCCAAGGAGGAAGCCACGGCUAACUACGUGCCAGCAGCCGCUGUAA